rnacentral:tRNA from 1 species
GCGCGGGUGUUGGAAUUGGUAGACAAGCUGGUCUCAGAAGCCAGUGUUCGAAAGGACAUGGGGGUUCAAGUCCCCCCUCGCGCACCA